AUUGAACGCUGGCGGCAUGCCUUACACAUGCAAGUCGAACGGCAGCACGGGAGCAAUCCUGGUGGCGAGUGGCGAACGGGUGAGUAAUAUAUCGGAACGUGCCCAGUAGUGGGGGAUAACUGCUCGAAAGAGCAGCUAAUACCGCAUACGACCUGAGGGUGAAAGCGGGGGAUCGCAAGACCUCGCGCUAUUGGAGCGGCCGAUAUCAGAUUAGCUAGUUGGUGAGGUAAGGGCUCACCAAGGCGACGAUCUGUAGCUGGUCUGAGAGGACGACCAGCCACACUGGGACUGAGACACGGCCCAGACUCCUACGGGAGGCAGCAGUGGGGAAUUUUGGACAAUGGGCGCAAGCCUGAUCCAGCCAUGCCGCGUGCGGGAAGAAGGCCUUCGGGUUGUAAACCGUUUUUGUCAGGGAAGAAACGGCUCCUACUAAUACUGGGGGCUAAUGACGGUACCUGAAGAAUAAGCACCGGCUAACUACGUGCCAGCAGCCGCUGUAA
rnacentral:rRNA from 1 species